rnacentral:lncRNA from 1 species
GUGAAUAUAAAUAUCAGUGAAUUUAAAUUUCACCUGGCCUAGAGCCAUCCCAACGUUUUUGGGCGAGCGUGCAAUCCACGCAACCCCAAACUUUUUGGACUGGCGUUCAAUCCACGCCAUCCACGACAGAAGAGAAAUAUAAUUAUCCACGGAAAUCCCGGAAAGAUUGGGCUUCGCUACGCUUUCCCCCCACACUCAGCCAGAGCAGCAGCGCAUUGACGUUUUGUUGGCAAUACGCUGAGGGGUGGGGAAUUUUUCUUGGGAGACCGGUGGAAGCCCGGCUCCAGAACCUAUGUAACACCAUAGCCAUGAUGUAACUUCACAAUGACCAUGACGUAACCUUGCAGUAACCUCUGCGCAGGCGCCACAGCCGACAGUGUCGUACCGCUAAGAGGGCCACCAUUAUAUCUUAGGCUGCAAUCAAAGCCUAAAGCACUGUCUUUUAUUUUAAUAAUUAAUUAAAUUUAAAUUUUGUUAAUGCUAAUACUCUUUUCUAUUAUUAUGUUCUAUUUGAUUUAACGACCUUUAAUUCCCCCUUAAUUAUGUGACAUUAGUGAAAGAAGAAAGAAAGGAAAAAUAAGUUUGUAAGAGAAAAAAAAAAUAUUGAACUAUAACGUGCAGUCGGCCAAAGCCAACAGGGAACCAUAAUUAAUAUAUUCCACAGCUUCUUCAAAACCCCAGCGAAAGGCCUUUCAGCGAGGGAGUACUGUAAGCAUACAUACAUGCAUACCAAACU